UGUCCUCUGUGGUGAAGUUUGCCUAAAACUAAAAGAACAACGUAGAGUACAACUGUUCAAUUAAGAGUUUUAGUGAAUUAUAUGGCGGCAGACUCACAGGACCUAACAAUAGGUUGCCCUCAAAUUAGAAAACCAUGGCCCUAAAAACUAAAAUAACGGAAGCAUAUCAGUUGUUAUAAUUGGUCAUGAAUUUGAGUUAAGUCAUAAAAAUAUUUGGAAUGCGACCAGUCCAGCGAAGUGCUGUGAUAUGUGUUUUAUCAACAAGUAGCAACCCAUACCAGCGGCAUAAAAGUCUGUAUCAGUUUGGAACGAAAAAGGAUCUUUGUGAUCUACGUACCUAAUGAAAUUGGCUGUAAAAUAAUGUAGUGUAUUUAAAAUAAUAUAAGUGCUUAUGAGUCAUGUUAUGAAACAAGUUUAGAUAAUGAGAAAUAAAUACAGAUGCAUGUAAGAGACCAAGUACAAGUUAUUUCUAAUCUGCGUUGAGAUUAAUUUAAUAUGAUUGAU